GAUUAUGGCUCAGGAUGAACGCUAGCUACAGGCUUAACACAUGCAAGUCGAGGGGCAGCAUGAGAUUAGCUUGCUAAUCUGAUGGCGACCGGCGCACGGGUGAGUAACGCGUAUCCAACCUUCCCCCUACUCAGGCAUAGCCCGGUGAAAACCGGAUUAACCCCUGAUAGUUUCACUAGAUGGCAUCUGACGGUGAAUAAAGCUCAGCGGUAAGGGAUGGGGAUGCGUCUGAUUAGCUUGUUGGCGGGGUAACGGCCCACCAAGGCGACGAUCAGUAGGGUUCUGAGAGGAAGGUCCCCCACAUUGGAACUGAGACACGGUCCAAACUCCUACGGGAGGCAGCAGUGAGGAAUAUUGGUCAAUGGGCGCGAGCCUGAACCAGCCAAGUAGCGUGCAGGAAGACGGCCCUAUGGGUUGUAAACUGCUUUUGUACGGGAAUAAAGUCAUCCACGUGUGGGUGUUUGCAUGUACCGUAAGAAUAAGGACCGGCUAAUUCCGUGCCAGCAGCUGC
rnacentral:rRNA from 1 species